ensembl:piRNA 21ur-11131 ncRNA
UCUUGCCAUUAACUUUCGAAU